AGAUGAACGCAACACCCCGUCCGCAGGAGACUGCGGACACCGCCGCGCCGGCGCUUCCCCAGCUCCGGUCCGGCCGUGCCUUCGCGCACACCACUGGAGCCUCCGGCUCCGGACAUCCUCACCGAUCGGA
rnacentral:ncRNA from 1 species